rnacentral:rRNA from 1 species
CAGUCGCCGCGGUAAUACGAAGGGUGCAAGCGUUACUCGGAAUUACUGGGCGUAAAGCGUGCGUAGGUGGUGGUUUAAGUCCGUUGUGAAAGCCCUGGGCUCAACCUGGGAAUUGCAGUGGAUACUGGGUCACUAGAGUGUGGUAGAGGAUAGUGGAAUUUCCGGUGUAGCAGUGAAAUGCGUAGAGAUCGGAAGGAACAUCUGUGGCGAAGGCGACUAUCUGGGCCAACACUGACACUGAGGCACGAAAGCGUGGGGAGCAAACAGGAUUAGAUACCCACGUAGUCCCUGUCUCUUAUAC